rnacentral:lncRNA from 1 species
CUGGGAUUCAGUGUCUACAACAUUAAGAGCCCUCUGUGUUCCUGAGGCAAGUGCUUAAAGAAUAUCAACACUGAAGGAUGAUAGAGUGAAGAAUACGUGUCAGUGAUCAUACUAUCAAAUAGAACCAAUUACAGCCACCACCAACCUUUUUAUUCUCUGAGGAAAAGAAGUUUCUAUGAAUGCUUAACCUAUGGAUACAGAAAAUGCCCUCAGCAGAGGAGUCUCUUGCAAAGACCUCAUCCUUAGCUGCUGAGACUAACCUGCCACAAAGCAUUCAGAGCUCUUUAGUUCAACUCAGAGCUCAGAACGAGGCGAGCAGUAACAGUACUCGGUCUUAAAGGCAAGAAGCAAGACUCCUGGCUGUCCCAAAAUCAGUGGGUGAAGAGCCACCAGGAAAAUCAUAUAAGUGACUACCCAUGAAUCAGCAGGUUGGAUUUUUGAAAAUGUGUGUGUGUGUGUUUGUCUGUGCAUGUGUGUGUGUGUUAUAUGUUGCUGUGUGAUUUGCACAUGAAUAUAAGUGUGUGUUCCAUAGCAUGUAUAUGGAUGUAUCCUUGUCUUCUGCCUUCAGACAUGGUCUCUUAUUUUGCCAUCACUUGUGACAGGCCACCUGGCCCAUAAGUUUUCAGGAAUUCUGUAUCUGCCUCCCAUGCUACUGGAAGGGCUCUGAGAGGACAGACAGUUUGUAGCUGAUUUCUUGGGGUUGGAACUCACUUUUGAAGUAUAUAUUUACCGACUCAGCCUACAUUGCUUUUUGUGCAGGAUCUUGCUGUACUGCACAGGGUGGCCUUGAACACCUAGGAUAAGCAAACCUCCCACCUCAGACUCCUGAGUAGCUGGAACUAUAGGCACAUACCUCCAUGCUUAGCGUCAGCUGUCUAAAGUUACACAGAAGUGGACACUGAGAAGACAUCCACCUUGUGGUGGACAGCAUUUUAGAAGGCAGAACAAAGAACUCGAAGGCAGAAUCUUUAGCUGAAAGUUACCAGGAAAGCUCACCAGCCUCUUCGGAAGAUUUCACUUGCAUGCCUGCCGACUUGACAGGUCAUCCAAGCCAUGAGAAAGUGAUACCUCAUCCCUGAGAGGUGCCUAUCACAUAGACAGUGUUUGUGUCUGCUUUGUCACAGAACAUAGAACACAAUGGCUUGUGAGGUAAGAAAGCACGCCUAGUACUGGGUGCUUAUGAAAGAGUUUUCUCG